rnacentral:rRNA from 1 species
GAUGAACGCUGGCGGCGUGCCUAAUACAUGCAAGUCGAGCGAAUGGAUUAAGAGCUUGCUCUUAUGAAGUUAGCGGCGGACGGGUGAGUAACACGUGGGUAACCUGCCCAUAAGACUGGGAUAACUCCGGGAAACCGGGGCUAAUACCGGAUAACAUUUUGAACCGCAUGGUUCGAAAUUGAAAGGCGGCUUCGGCUGUCACUUAUGGAUGGACCCGCGUCGCAUUAGCUAGUUGGUGAGGUAACGGCUCACCAAGGCAACGAUGCGUAGCCGACCGGAGAGGGUGAUCGGCCACACUGGGACUGAGACACGGCCCAGACUCCUACGGGAGGCAGCAGUAGGGAAUCUUCCGCAAUGGACGAAAGUCUGACGGAGCAACGCCGCGUGAGUGAUGAAGGCUUUCGGGUCGUAAAACUCUGUUGUUAGGGAAGAACAAGUGCUAGUUGAAUAAGCUGGCACCUUGACGGUACCUAACCAGAAAGCCACGGCUAACUACGUGCCAGCCGCCGCAGUAAUAC